rnacentral:lncRNA from 7 species
AGUGAGGAGAGCUCGCUGGGCCCUGCACCCAUCCAGCAAUGGUGGGGCAUGCUGGGACACAGCACAGCAUAUAAAAGGGCAUAUAUGAGAUAUGAGGUGUAUGGGAGCUGCUGAGUCACAGCCUGAACCACUGAUUGAGCACCUGGGGAAAGGACCCGGUCAGCCCUGGGAGCACAGGUGAAGGCAAUUCACGUGUGUGACUGGAAGGGGUGGAGCCUGCCUGCACCUCUCUUAGACCUCAUUUAAGGGCUGACUGCCACUAGGGAAGGUUCUCUUUCUGGAGAUCCCUUCUUAGUGGAGCUUUUUCCUGGGAUCUUCUGAUAUGGUUCUCCACUUGCUAUGGUGCUGCUGUGCCACUACUGUUAAUAAUGUCAUCAAGCCUUACCUGCGUGAAUGACUGCAAAGGAUGCCAAUGGCAACCUCAAGGACAGAGUGAGACCUUGCGGUCACCGGGACACCGAUGAUGCUUCUCUGUGUGAUGGAUGUGUUCACAGAAUUAGGCCCCAUGACACGGAAGUGGAUGCUGCUCCAAUUUUCUUUCAAGAAACACUACCGGAAUCAUCCUUAAGAUGAAAUUUCAUUUUAAAACUGCAUUCUUUCUCUAGCAAUGGGAACAUUAAGCCAUUCCAAUUGGUUUGUCAGCAGCUGGAAGAGGUUAGAAUAGUGAAACUGGAGUCCACCUACCUGCUGGAAAAGUACAGCUGAAAGAGGCAAUUUCUAGACAACAAAGGGUAAGGAGGUGAGGUGAAGAUACUGUUAUUCUAGUGGCCAGAAGGGUGCUAUCAUCAAGUUAGUAAGAAUAAUGUUUUCCUUAGCUCUCAUGGGACUUCUUUGUCCAUGUGGAUCCAUUUCAAACAUUUUUCCCCUUUAAGCACUCCUUGAUAAUAAAAAAAAAACUGAUAUAAGCGCUCUUUCAUGGGAAGAAUCUCACUUUGGUCUGUGUAUUUUGUCUUCAGAAAACCAUAGGGCUCAGAGUGGGUACAAAAAGAGCUUAGUACUCAAAAAAUACAGCCCACAGCUGAGAGAAACUGCAAGAGCAGGGGUUAAUGGUACUGAGGGCUUCAUGGUUCAGCUGUUUGCAGAUCAGUAAUUAGAAUCCUCUGCUUACCGCAUUGAUCUCUCCCUGAGCAGCACUGUGAAAUACUACAGAGAGAUCUAUUAGUCAUAGAGAUAUUUGGGUGGGGGAAGGAAAUGAAACACUUCCCCCCACCGUUUCUAGGUAUUUGAGGGCAAGAAGAGUGUUCUUCUACCUUUAAGGAGAAGCUGUGGUCUGUCUCCAGGGCUGCUGGGGCAGGCUGUCUCCAUGAGGGGCAGCUGGAGCUGUGAGAGCACAAUGUGCCAUGGUUGUGAUAAAGGUGUGUGCAGGCUGUAUGCUGGUGCACACUUGGGGCUGCACUGUGUGGUGUGAGUAAUAACGUACCAGCACAGCAGGGGGAGAAGGUCUCCUGGCAUGUAACUAACCUUUCUGCUGUUAAAUCCCUGCCUGAUCUGUGCAGAAAUGCUAGAGAAUGUGUGUGCUUUCCCUACUGUCUCUAAAGGGGCUGUAUUCCAGGUGGGAGCAGGGGUAAUGUAAAGGACUGAAUAUCAGUGUGAUACUCUUAUGAGUAAGACUGUAUCUGGUGUGACUUCUUAUGGAAGGUUUUGGAGAACCAGGGAACAGGGCUGCUGAGAAGGGAGUUGAGUCUGUGAAAGGAUGUGACUCUCACUUAGAUGUUUGCUUAAAAGCUGUGAGAAGAACAGAUGAGCUGCAACCAGAUGCUAAGGUGAUGGCAACACAGUCAGGGGCGUCUUGUAUUGUUGAAGACCAUUCUACUACAGUUAAAAACAAGUCUAGAAAAGCCUUCUGACAGGGUUGUUUUUUUUUUAAUAAAACCUAUCUCACAGUGAAACUAGGCUAACAAAUAGUACUGUAAAAUUAACUUCUGCUUGCCAUCACCCUUGUAAAUAAGCCUAUUUCUUAAUUCUCAUAUGAGGUAAUGAGAGAUUAAAACACAUCACUACUUAUGCUAACAAACUACAUGGGAAAUUGACUUUUGUCUUUAAAAAAAAAAGUCAGAGUUGUAGCUUUGGACACUGUGUCCAAACCAUACUAAGAAAUAUGUGUCAGCAGGAUCCGAGUUAGGGUUGUAAUGCUGCUGUCUAGCUAUAGAUCUUGAGACAAAGAAUCAAUAGGAACAAGUAAAUAAAAGUUGGUAAUGAG